CUCACGUUCGACGCCUUCCCAUCGGGUCUACACUCGAGGCGCGGCAACCAAGCGGUUGCCGAUUGUCCAUACUUCGACCUGAGGAAAGUCCCCGGACCCACAAGCAGAAAGUGCAACCGGCCCAACGGCCGAUCGGCGCACUCUCGCCCUUCCGUGUCUUUCUACGGAGGUGACCAGGGGUCCCCCAACUCGGGCGUCUGUGAUCCGUCAGGACGGGCUUGUAGUGUUUGCCGACUGGUCCUAGAUAUAUAGUAUGUAAGGAAGGGUAGCCCGCGUCAAAACGGGAUAUCCCAACUUAAUGGGGCUUACGUUCGAACGUGA